rnacentral:sRNA from 1 species
CUCUGCAGCCCUUCCCACAGCUUGCAAGGACCAAGGGAGGCUGGAAGGGCUGGCAGAUCGCUUCCCUCAUCCACCUCGACCGGUCCAGGUCUUUGCUGCUGUCCCCAGACCUCCUGUUACACCACGCCAGAUCACAGGGCACCAGGCCAGAGAUAGUCUUCUUUUUGUCCUUUCUGGCCUCUGGCUAGUCAGUUUUUCAUAGCCUUACAGUAUCUGGCUUUGUACUGAGAAAUAAAACACAUUUUCAUAUUUGGUUAUUUUCAA